AGAGCCGGUUGUUGGAGAGUUGGU
rnacentral:siRNA from 1 species